UAAUUGGAGAGUUUGAUCCUGGCUCAGAAUGAACGCUGGCGGCGUGCCUAACACAUGCAAGUCGUACGAGAAAUCUCCUGCUUGCAGGAGAGAGUAAAGUGGCGAACGGGUGAGUAACACGUGGGUAAUCUACUCCCGAAUCUGGAAUAACCCGACGAAAGGCGGGCUAAUACCGGAUAAUAUCUUGCGGCUCAGGCUGUCAAGAUCAAAGGUGACCUCUACAUGUAAGUUACCGUUUGGGAAGGAGUCCGCGUGCCAUUAGCUUGUUGGUGGGGUAAAGGCCUACCAAGGCGACGAUGGCUAGCUGGUCUGAGAGGAUGAUCAGCCACACUGGAACUGAGACACGGUCCAGACUCCUACGGGAGGCAGCAGUGAGG
rnacentral:ncRNA from 1 species